AAGUAUUAAUAGUUAAGUUCUUUAAAUUUAAAGAUUUUGGCGGUAUUUUAGUCUAUUCAGAGGAACCUGUUCUGUAAUUGAUAAUCCACGAUUAAUUAAACUUAAUUUAAUAAUUUGUAUAUCGUCGUUUAUAAAUAAUUUUAAAAGAAUUAAAAUUUUUAAGAUUUUAAAUUAAAAAAUAUAUCAGAUCAAGGUGCAGUUUAUAAUUAAGAAGAAAUGGGUUACAAUAAAUUUAUUUAUAUGGAUAAGUAAAUGAAAUUUUAUUUUGAAAGAGGAUUUGAUAGUAAUAAAAUUAAAUUUAAUUUUAUGAUUUUAGCUCUAAAAUAUGU
rnacentral:rRNA from 1 species